rnacentral:lncRNA from 1 species
ACCGUUUCGUAGGGGACGUAUUCACAUGUUUUAUUUUUUUCCCACAAUCCCUUUAUUGCAAAAGUAACAAGACUGAUUGUAUUCAUCAAAGCAUGUAUUAAGCUGUACACUGAUAUUUUUUUCAUAAUUUUAAAACCAGAUACUGAUGGAGAUUUGACCCGUUUCGUAGUGGACAUUUACAAAAAUACGGUAUCACUCUGGUCCAUUUGAUGUGCUCAAUCUUUUUUACCAACAAUUUAA